AAAACCCUAACUCUAUUUAACCACCGCUUUUAGGUUUAGCGCGAACGAUCGGAAUCGACACAGACACAGUGAAAGAACGUCAGAAUCAGAAUCAGAAUCAGAAUCAGAAAAAUGGUGGGAUUAGCGUACGAUCUGCUAGCAAAUCCACAGGGAGCCGUCCGAUCAACAUUCGAGAAAGCAGUAGCUUCAUCAGGAUUGGAUUUCGAUCCAGCCUCACUGGACGGCAAGGACUGGGGCGCACUCGAUCUUUUCCGCCAAUUCCUCUCCGACCAAACCCACCUCUCUCAGGUUCCGAUUCUGAAUGGUGAAACUAUCAAAUGGGUUCAGCCCAAUACAUUGGUUCGGUUCCGAGGAAUGAUACAAGACAUGUUGGGUAAUGAAUUUUACGUUGGUGCUUUUAAGGAUGGUGAUGUUUGGAGAACCAACAAGUUUAUGGAUGUUUCUCACUUCCCUAUGCCUAUGGCUUCCACUUCUUCCCCUCAUAUGCGAGUUUGGGAACGCCGUUUACUUUAUUGCGUUCCUGUUCCGGGGCGGAAUUCUUGGACUGAACCAUCAUCUGAAUCGUUGGUGAAUCGAUGUGUGGAUUGCUCAUCCCAACAGAGAGAGAAGCGUCGGAGAAUGGAUGAUGAACCCGUUGAUCACAUGGAUAUGCUUGUCUCAGAUGAGGGAUUUCAAGGUUCCCCUAGUACCAAAAAGAUGAAAGAGGAUGGACACCCUUCCAUGUCUUCUCAGACUACAGAGCCUAUAAAUGAAGGCAUUUGCUCUCAUUUGAGUAUGGUACCCAGCAUUGACAGUGAUUCUCUUCCUUGUCUUGUUAAGAUAUAUGAUUCUCCAGAGUCUGACUUGAAACUGAAUGAUGUUUUUGAGUUCAUUGGAGUCCUCACAUUUGAUUCAGAGGUUUCAAUGGACAAGGAUGACCAGGAUGAGUUAUCUAAUGGUUUUAGUGAAGAUGUCUUGGUCCAUUUACCCCCUCACAAGGUGCCACGCCUCCAUUGUCUUAUUCACAGGAAGCUCACAGUUCCUGACUUUCUUCAUAGUUCCCCUAUUAUAGAGCUAAAGCCCCAUGUGGUUAAGGAAAUAAGGGAGGCUCUGUUGAGGCAUCUUACAGCUGUCCUGGGUGAUGAUAGUGUUGCUGCUCAUUUCAUGUUGUUGCAUCUUCUGUCCAGGGUGCAUACUAGAGUAGAAAAUAUUGCUGUGGGAAAGCUUUCACUAAAUCUCACUGGUUUUAGCAAAGAAAGUGUGUCUCUGUUUGGCCAUCGACUUAGCCUUGCUGUUAAAGACCUCCUACCUGUCACACAUUGCAUACCCCUUACAGUGGAGUAUCUUAACUCUGCCUCACUUGCCCCAAUAAAGGAUUAUGAGACAAACAGGCUGAUUACUGGAGUUCUGCAGCUAGCUGAGGGUUCACACUUAAUCGUUGAUGAGACCCAAUUGAAAGCAGGGACCCUCAACUCUGUUGGAGUGGAUAAUACAAGGUUGUUAAAAAAUCUGAUGGAGCUGCAGAAGGUGGAAUAUGAUUUUAAGUACUAUAAAAUGGAGAUGGCAGCUGAUGUCCAGUUGCUAAUUAUUUCUGAGGGGAAAUCAAACAUCUUGCCAGCUGAUAUAGUUAUACCAUUCCAGCCUACUUCAGUGGAUUCCUCUGAAGUAGUGGCUGCAGAAGCACUAGAAGCUUGGAGAUGGUAUUUGGCUACUGUUAAAUCAUUGCCACAUUCUAUUGAGUCAGAAAUGCAGAAGGUGGUAGAAAAUGACUUGGUUGAAGCAAGGCAAUCUGAUCGGAGCAUAGGGAGCCAAGAUUUUAACAGAUGGCUGACAAUGGGCCGGCUAAUGUCUGUUAGUUUUGGUGAAAACUGCCUGUCAUUGGAACACUGGCAGAUGGUAAAGGAACUGGAGAGACUACGCAGAGAGAGGCUCAAAUAAUGCACAUGACUUACUUAUUGAUAAUGGUUUGAACUGGUGUAAAUUGUAGCUCUGAUCUGUGGAUCAGGGUCUUCUUGGCUACCGACAACUCUCUAGAUUGCUCUUUCAGAGGAUAUUCAAGCUCUGUUAACCAAGCAUCUAUAUAACAUGCACUUGUUAGUCACAUCAGUGUAACACUUCGGUCUACUUUAGUUCAUUCAAUCCAUUUUGGUCCUAUUUCGGUUCA